rnacentral:rRNA from 1 species
CCUACGGGUGGCAGCAGUGAGGAAUAUUGGUCAAUGGGCGGAAGCCUGAACCAGCCAAGUAGCGUGCAGGAUGACGGCCCUACGGGUUGUAAACUGCUUUUAUACGGGAAUAACGCGCCUUACGUGUAGGGCUUUGCAUGUACCGUAUGAAUAAGGACCGGCUAAUUCCGUGCCAGCAGCCGCGGUAAUACGGAGGGUGCGGGCGUUAUCCGGAAUUAUUGGGUGUAAAGGGAGCGGAGGCGGCAUGUAAAGCGUGCUGUGAAAUGUCCGGGCUCAACCCGGGCCUUGCAGCGCGAACGGGCGUGCUUGAGUCCGCGGAAAGCAGGCGGAAUUCGUGGUGUAGCGGUGAAAUGCUUAGAUAUGACGAAGAACCCCGAUGGCGAAGGCAGCUUGCUGCAGCGGAACUGACGCUGAUGCUCGAAGGCGCGGGUAUCGAACAGGAUUAGAUACCCGGGUAGUC